AACAAACCUCCUAUAUUUGAAAAUGCUGAAUUUAAAGGUCUUAUUCGCAAACUAAGAAUCCUUUGGUAUUCGAGAGAAAUAAAAUGUCCUUUUCUCUAUGGAGCUGGCUAUGACCAGGUUAUAUAGUGGAAAUCUCACCAAAAUAGAUGACCCCAAAAGAUGACAUGGUGGAUGUGGAUUAAGGAGACUUUGGAUCUGGAGACUUCCAGUUGACGUUGCAGCACUAUUGUGAACUCAAACAAAUCCCUUUGUUGGAGGGCCCCAUAAGGGGUUAAAGUCACCCUGUAAGGCUGAUGAAGAGUAGAGGAGUUUUGAAGAUCAUGGAGAGUGGUGGCUCUCCUGCUUGACCCAAGGCUAAUUCCGUCUCAUCCGACGAUGAAGAAGAGAGGCAGCCAUAAUGGCUCCCAUGAAGCUGAGGCAACUGAAGAAACAAAGAAUAUGCUGGUGCAGUGUGGAUGAACAGUGACUGGAACUGGGUCAGGUGCAGCAAGUGACAAACUUAAGGGAUGAGGAUUGGAGUCACUAUCAGCAGCCACCCCUUAAUCUAUGGAGGGUCAGGGUAACAAGCUUCUCAAUCCCACUUGAAACCCCUCUUAACAGGAACAGGAAACAGAGAGGUGGGAGGCCCCUCC